rnacentral:rRNA from 1 species
GAUGAACGCUGGCGGCGUGCCUAAUACAUGCAAGUCGAGCGAACAGACGAGGAGCUUGCUCCUCUGACGUUAGCGGCGGACGGGUGAGUAACACGUGGAUAACCUACCUAUAAGACUGGGAUAACUUCGGGAAGCCGGAGCUAAUACCGGAUAAUAUAUUGAACCGCAUGGUUCAAUAGUGAAAGACGGUUUUGCUGUCACUUAUAGAUGGAUCCGCGCCGCAUUAGCUAGUUGGUAAGGUAACGGCUUACCAAGGCGACGAUGCGUAGCCGACCUGAGAGGGUGAUCGGCCACACUGGAACUGAGACACGGUCCAGACUCCUACGGGAGGCAGCAGUAGGGAAUCUUCCGCAAUGGGCGGAAGCCUGACGGAGCAACGGCGCGUGAGUGAUGAAGGUCUUCGGAUCGUAAAACUCUGUUAUUAGGGAAGAACAAAUGUGUAAGUAACUAUGCACGUCUUGACGGUACCUAAUCAGAAAGCCACGGCUAACUACGUG